rnacentral:rRNA from 1 species
CCUACGGGUGGCAGCAGUGGGGAAUAUUGCACAAUGGGGGAAACCCUGAUGCAGCGACGCCGCGUGAGUGAAGAAGUAAUUCGUUAUGUAAAGCUCUAUCAGCAGGGAAGAAAAUGACGGUACCUGAGUAAGAAGCCCCGGCUAACUACGUGCCAGCAGCCGCGGGACUAAGGAGGGGGCAAGCGUUAUCCGGAUUUACUGGGUGUAAAGGGGGCGUAGACGGCAGUGCAAGUCUGGAGGGAAAGGCGGGGGCUCAACCCCCGGACUGCUCUGGAAACUGUACGGCUGGAGUGCAGGAGAGGUAAGUGGAAUUCCUGGUGUAGCGGUGAAAUGCGUAGAUAUUAGGAGGAACCCCAGUGGCGAAGGCGGCUUACUGGACUGUAACUGACGUUGAGGCUCGAAAGCGUGGGGAGCAAACAGGAUUAGAUACCCCAGUAGUC